rnacentral:rRNA from 1 species
UACGGAGGGUGCAAGCGUUAUCCGGAAUCACUGGGCGUAAAGGGCGCGUAGGUGGUCUGUUAAGUCUGGCGUUAAAGCCUGGGGCUCAACCCCAGAUCAGCGUUGGAUACUGGCAGGCUAGACGGUUGGAGAGGCGAGUGGAAUUACCAGUGUAGCGGUGGAAUGCGUAGAUACUGGUAGGAACACCCAUUGCGAAGGCAGCUCGCUGGACAACACGUGACACUGAGGCGCGAAAGUGUGGGGAGCAAACCGGAUUAGAUAUCCCCGUA